ACGUGUAGGGCACUGCCCUCCACACUGCCCAGCUGCAUUCCUGUAAAUUGGUUAUCGGAUUGGUAUCAGCUGAAAUGGCUGGGUAAUAAUUGGCUAUUGUUAUCAGCCAUAAAAAAGUCUUUACUGGUGCACUCCAACAAUUUCCAUAAGUGCUUAUGCCUGGUAGGCACACAGAGGUUUUCCUUCAAGUGAGGCAGAAUUUCCCUAUAUGUACCCUAUAUGUACCAACAAGUUCCUUACAAGUCAGUGGUAUUAUAAAGAACUUGCUCCACAAACAUGUAUGGAAAUGUGAGGCCAGAGUCAAAAGUUCUUGGUACUCUAUAGUUUAGGUCAUUCGCAGCGGGAGCUGUGGGACACUGAAUAUUUUUGAAAAUCUGACCACAGGUGCCCAUAAAAAUAGCUCACAAUGAUGAGCAUCUGUUCAUAAAAGAAGAGUAUGACUGAAAUGCAAUAAAACCAGAAUGAGUGACAAUCCCUGUAUAGCUUGAUUUCUUUUUUUUUUUUUUCUUUCAUCAGAGAUAGGGAAGAUCACACAUAGACAAGUAUUCUAGAGGGGCUAGAAAAAAUGAUAAACCAUGCAUGGGAGCAUGUAGGAAUAACAUGCAUUAUUGAUAUAAAAAGGAGAGAAAUGACAGCAGAAGGUUGUCCUUGGCGAGACAAUCUGGUUAGCCAAAAGAUGCAGUGAGAAGUACACGGGCCUGAACAGUUGCUUGCACCAAAAGGCUUAAUUCUCAGAAAUCAAUGGGACAUCUGUGUAUAACAACUGGUGAACCAUUUUCUAGUCCACCCUAAAAAUAAAUGUACAUAUUACAAAGACAACAUACAGAGGUUUUCAACAAAUGCAAGAACAUCUUCCUAAUGUUAUACUAAUAAAAGCAACAUUCUCUCUUCUUUUUAAUUGUGCCUGAAUGCACUAUUAAUUUCAAUCUAACUCACUUCUGAGGCUAUAAUUAAAAUGACUUAAGGCUACAUUAAAAAAAAAAAA